rnacentral:sRNA from 1 species
CCAAAAGGCGAAUGGGGAGUUGACUGCGUCAAGAAAUGUGGACAUUGUUUAGACGACUGCGACAAGUAUCAAGGCUCCUGUUCUGCUUGUCAGCCUGGCUUCAUGGGCAGAGAAACUGGUUGCAUGAAAGCUUGUGGUGGCGGCACUUACGGUCAAGAUUGUUCUGGAAACUGUAAACAAAAAUGCGGAAGUGAUUGCGUGGACAGAGUCACCGGGGAGUGUGCAAUGUAUGGAGUCUUCGGAGAUUGGCAGGAAUGGAGAUGCUCAAACAACUGCAAUGACAGCCAAUUAGUUCGAGAAAG